AGGACGAACGCUGGCGGCGUGCUUAACACAUGCAAGUCGAACGGAAAGGCCCUUUCGGGGGUACUCGAGUGGCGAACGGGUGAGUAACACGUGGGUGAUCUGCCCUGCACUUUGGGAUAAGCCUGGGAAACUGGGUCUAAUACCGAAUACACCUUGCUGGCUGCAUGGCUGGUGGGGAAAGCUUUUGCGGUGUGGGAUGGGCCCGCGGCCUAUCAGCUUGUUGGUGGGGUGAUGGCCUACCAAGGCGACGACGGGUAGCCGGCCUGAGAGGGUGUCCGGCCACACUGGGACUGAGAUACGGCCCAGACUCCUACGGGAGGCAGCAGUGGGGAAUAUUGCACAAUGGGCGCAAGCCUGAUGCAGCGACGCCGCGUGAGGGAUGACGGCCUUCGGGUUGUAAACCGUCUUUCAGUAUCGACGAAGCGCAAGUGACGGUAGGUACAGAAGAAGCACCGGCCAACUACGUGCCAGCAGCCGC
rnacentral:rRNA from 1 species